UGCCUAACACAUGCAAGUCGAACGUGAACGGGAGCAAUCCCUAGUAAAGUGGCGUACGGGUGAGUAACACGUAGGUAAUCUACCCAAGAGUCCGGAAUAACCGCCCGAAAGGCUGGCUAAUACCAGAUAGAGCGACGGAAUCCGUAAUUGGGUUUUUCGGGAAAGGGAGCUCGCAAGGGCCCUCGCUUUUGGAUGAGCCUGCGUCCCAUCAGGUAGUUGGUAAGGUAACGGCUUACCAAGCCUUUGACGGGUAGCUGGUCUGAGAGGAUGAUCAGCCACACUGGAACUGAAACACGGUCCAGACUCCUACGGGAGGCAGCAGUGGGGAAUCUUGCGCAAUGGACGGAAGUCUGACGCAGCCACGCCGCGUGAGUGAAGAAGGCCUUCGGGUUGUAAAGCUC
rnacentral:rRNA from 1 species